rnacentral:lncRNA from 1 species
GCAGUGUUUGUAACCUUUAUCUUUCCCACUUCUCAGCUGUCGCUUUACCAACAGGAGCCUCUACCUUUGCGGAGUUGGGAAAAGACAAACAGUUCUGUUUCCUUAAGCUAGGCUUACAAUCGAAGGGCCAGCUGUUCACUUUACAAUCUAUCCCAGCAUCCUCAGCUCCAAUAACUGCCAGUUGAUGCUUGCCUGUCCCAGUGGAAUUAAUGGAAGCUGUCAACAGCCCGCCCCCGACCUCACUGGAUAUAACUGUGUCCUCGGCAGACGAGAGAAUAACCAGAGGAAGGGCUGAAAAUCCUGGAGAACACCAACAUUAACAAGCUUCAGUUUGUCAGAACCAGUUGGGAUGCAACAGGAUUUUCAGUUUUGCUGCCUUCCAUGCAUGAAUGGCUGUUGGAAUGACCAAGAUGAUUUUUCCACCCAUUCUUGGGACCUGGACUAUGAUGGCCACAGCAGCUAAAGAUGCCAGAUACUCCUUCAGGUUCUGCAUACUAUGAAACUACUACAUCAGCAGGUCCAAAGGACUCCACUGACUCAACUGAUCUGAGGGACCCCAUGAGAAGCCUACUCAUCAAAGAAUGCAGUUUCUAAAUCCUGAUGAGUUCACCCCCCUUGCCCUGACCAAUCAACAAUCCUAAUUCUCCAGUCCCUUGCCCUCCAUGAUCCUCUUAAAAACCCUAGCCCAGAAUUCCUCAGGAAGAUGGAUUUGAGGGUCUCCUUCCAACUCCUCACUCAGCGCCCUGUGGUCA